UGGGAUGUAGCUCAGUUGGUAGAGUACUUGCCUCACAUGCACAAGGCCAUGGGUUCAAUCCCCAGCACCACAC
rnacentral:tRNA from 1 species